rnacentral:misc_RNA from 1 species
UGAAGAGCUUCAUUUUUCAGGAAAUGCUGGAACCAUUUGGCUGAUCUUUUUGGUGUUCUCUGCAUUGUUGUGCGGUCUACAUGAACCAACCCAAAGCUUAUGGUAUAUCCAUAUGUCCAUUCAAAGUUAUCUAUCAGAGACCAAUGGAAGUAGCCCCUCACAUCUGCUCCAUUCCUCAUUGCAGAAACUAGAGAAGUGAGGUAACCCUCCAUGUAUUCCACCCUGUUCGUGUCAUUGAGCAUAUCUUCAAUGUUUCUACCGCUAGGUUGUGCAUAUCCGUUUUCUGUGAUGAACAUGGGCGUGUUGUUGUAUCUAUCUUUGAAAUACGUGAUUGUCUUCUCCAUGCUAUUUGGAACAACAUAGAACGUAGGCAUUGCUGUCGGCUCUCCUAUAAGAACUCCAUCUUUUGUUCCAGUUCCAUAAGUAAAGGUGUCUUUGAGUAAAUCAUCAUGAUAAUUGCAUGGUGAAAGCAGACAAUCCUUUGCAUAGAGAGUGCUAUAAUGGUUGAUUCCAAUGAAAUCCAAUUUGUUUGCCAGUUUCCUCUUGUCCUCCAUCGAAAAUGCUGGUAGCCUUAGACCUACAAUUUGUCGCAUCUCUGGUGGGUACUCUCCAUACAUAAUGGGAUCCAUAAACCAAGCAGCAAUGAAACCUAGAGCUCGUUGAGCAGCCACACGAUCAACUGGAAUGUCUCUUAGUGGCUCAUACCAGUAGAUAUGUAACACAAUGCCAAUCUUCCCUCCUUGUUUUUCCUGAUACUUUUUUCUGUAAAUUUCAGUAGCUGUGGCAUGAGCUAGUAUCAUAUUAUGAGCAGCGAUGUAAGGUUCUAAUUCAGAGUCUCCGGCUUUGCACUUGCCUACAGGGUAAGAGCAUCGGUUUGGUGGCCAUAUUCCACUGUAGUACCCAUAUUGGGCCACCAUAUUAGCUUCAUUGAGUGUAAUCCAAUGUUUCACUCUGUCUCCAAAUGCCUCGAAGCAGAUAUCUGCGAAGUACCCGAAAUCAUCCUG